CCUACGGGAGGCAGCAGUGGGGAAUUUUGGACAAUGGGCGCAAGCCUGAUCCAGCAAUGCCGCGUGCAGGAUGAAGGCCUUCGGGUUGUAAACUGCUUUUGUACGGAACGAAACGGUGAGCUCUAAUACAGUUUGCUAAUGACGGUACCGUAAGAAUAAGCACCGGCUAACUACGUGCCAGCAGCCGCGGUAAUACGUAGGGUGCGAGCGUUAAUCGGAAUUACUGGGCGUAAAGCGUGCGCAGGCGGUGAUGUAAGACAGAUGUGAAAUGCCCGGGCUCAACCUGGGACCUGCAUUUGUGACUGCAUCGCUAGAGUACGGUAGAGGGGGAUGGAAUUCCGCGUGUAGCAGUGAAAUGCGUAGAUAUGCGGAGGAACACCGAUGGCGAAGGCAAUCCCCUGGACCUGUACUGACGCUCAUGCACGAAGACGGUGGGGAGGACAAACAGGAGUAGAUACCUACGGUACGUACCGACCGACCCGUAAACCGACUGUCAACUGGUUGGUUGGGUUCGUUCUACUGACGUCAGUAACGAAGACGUACGCGUGAGUUGUACCGCCGUUGGGAGGUACGGCCGGCGAGGUUAGUUAACGUUAAAGGUAAGUUAGACGGCGUUGAGACGUUGCCGACGGCGACGACGAGGGAGGAGG
rnacentral:rRNA from 1 species